UUUGGCAAAUCAGUAAAAAAAUACAUAUUCCGCAAAACUCAAUAGAAAAUCUUCAGACUUCACAUUUCAAGUAACCAUUUUUUCAAGCAUUUCGUACAGGAAACUGCAGAGAGCAAAAUAAAGUGGCCGCACCCAUGGAAUACCCUUUAAUACAGUGCUAGGAGGAUGGGACGCGCCCUGUGCAUGUUCCUUACUGUAUUACUGGUGCUUGCGAGCUACGUGAGGGGGUGUACACGCAAAGUUUAUAUAGCCUGCAGACAGCCGGCACCCUGCAACAAGUGAAACUAAUGGGAGCGAGCGAGGGCGAUUUGAAAAUGUCUCUCUCUGCGACAAAUUAAAAAUAAACUACAAAUUUGGCGUAUGAUGUUGUGGUGGCGGCUGGUGUGGUUGUUGCUGUCCGCCGUCGCAUGGUCGCAGGUCUCCGCCUGCGGUAGUAAAAAGGUCACCUGCAACACUAACAGCCCGCCCUGUAAAAAAACAUAAUAUCGCCACUGGCGAUGGAAACAGCAUUCUUACAAGAGGUGGUGGUGCUGCUGGUGAGUCUGCUGCUCUCCUACCUGGAAACGUGCCUGGGCUGCACGCGUCACGACUACGUCACAUGCGACCAGAACAACCCCAAGUGUGUCAAGAAGUGACGACACACAACGAAGGUGUAUACAGUAUGGUGUAUAUGAACGAGUUCGUGCUGGUGUUCCUGCACAUAGCUGUGUGUGUGCUGGACGCGGCGUAUGGCUGCAAGCGGCGCCCGACCACCUGCCGACCUUGCGGUGACUCUACCUGCUCCUCACGGCGUACAGACUCGUCCUCCAAUAUCCGGAUAUAUGUCAACAAGUCAAAGAUGUAAUAAAGUCCUGCGAUCGGAAUGCGUUACGAAAUCCUCCUAAUUUUGCUGCAUGUGUUCACGUGGGCGGCGGAAGUGUUGGGGUGCAGGAGAGGCCGCCGCCGCACCCCCGAGUACUGCCUGCCGUGCACUUACAAGGGGCCCAUUAUAGAAGUUAUUUACCCCAAGCAG